rnacentral:rRNA from 1 species
GUACUCGAGUGGCGAACGGGUGAGUAACACGUGGGUGAUCUGCCCUGCACUUUGGGAUAAGCCUGGGAAACUGGGUCUAAUACCGGAUAGGAUCAUGGCCUUCAUGGGUUGUGGUGGAAAGCUUUUGCGGUGUGGGAUGGGCCCGCGGCCUAUCAGCUUGUUGGUGGGGUAAUGGCCUACCAAGGCGACGACGGGUAGCCGGCCUGAGAGGGUGUCCGGCCACACUGGGACUGAGAUACGGCCCAGACUCCUACGGGAGGCAGCAGUGGGGAAUAUUGCACAAUGGGCGCAAGCCUGAUGCAGCGACGCCGCGUGAGGGAUGACGGCCUUCGGGUUGUAAACCUCUUUCAGUAGGGACGAAGCGCAAGUGACGGUACCUAUAGAAGAAGGACCGGCCAACUACGUGCCAGCAGCCGCGGUAAUACGUAGGGUCCGAGCGUUGUCCGGAAUUACUGGGCGUAAAGAGCUCGUAGGUGGUUUGUCGCGUUGUUCGUGAAAACUCACAGCUUAACUGUGGGCGUGCGGGCGAUACGGGCAGACUUGAGUACUGCAGGGGAGACUGGAAUUCCUGGUGUAGCGGUGGAAUGCGCAGAUAUCAGGAGGAACACCGGUGGCGAAGGCGGGUCUCUGGGCAGUAACUGACGCUGAGGAGCGAAAGCGUGGGGAGCGAACAGGAUUAGAUACCCUGGUAGUCCACGCCGUAAACGGUGGGUACUAGGUGUGGGUUCCUUCCACGGAAUCCGUGCCGUAGCUAACGCAUUAAGCGCCCCGCCUGGGGAGUACGGCCGCAAGGCUAAAACUCAAAUGAAUUGACGG